AGAAGUUUAGGUUAAAUAGACCAAGGGCCUUCAAAGCCCUAAGUAAGUGAUAUACACUUAACUCCUG
rnacentral:tRNA from 1 species